GAUUGAUUUUAUUUUUGUUUUUUAAUUUUUUAAUUUUUUAAUCUUUUAUUAUGAAGGAAUUGAAAGCCGGAUCUAUGAAAUAAGUGGAAUAAAUAUCUCUUAUCUUUGAGUGCAAGCACUCAACAGGUGGAUCAUGGAUUAUUAGGAGUUGCGGUUUUAAGAAGAAUUCACUGGUUGUUUGAUCAUGAAUCAACCGAAAAUCAAGCGUAAAGUUGGUAAAUAUGAACACUGGUACUAUUUAGCCACCGCCCUUCCAUUGUUGCUUCUGUUAGGGAUAUUCAAGCGAAGCUAAAGAAGAAUUUUAGAAAAAAAAAUUUUGAGAUUAAAAUUCAAGGGCAGGGGCCUGAAGAGUGUGUAGAAGAUGUUGAAA